rnacentral:rRNA from 1 species
CAGUUUAACGGCCGCGGUACCCUAACCGUGCGAAGGUAGCAUAAUCACUUGUUUCUUAAAUAGAGACUAGUAUCAACGGCAUCACGAAGACUAUACUGUCUCCUCCCUAAAAUCAAUGAAACUGAUCUCCUCGUGAAGAAGCGAGGAUAUACAUAUAAGACGAGAAGACCCCAUGGAGCUUUAAACGAACUUCAAUUGUUCCUACCCAUAACAUACAAAUUGAACACUCCUUGAUAGAUAGUUUUAGGUUGGGGUGACCACGGAGUAAAACAAAACCUCCACAAUGAAUGUAAUAAAAUUCUUAUAAAAGAACUACAAUUCUAAUAAUCAAAAAUUUGACAUAAGUUGACCCAAACACUUGAUCAAUGAACCAAGUUACCCUGGGGAUAACAGCGCAAUCCAUUUUAAGAGCCCAUAUCGACAAAUGGGUUUACGACCUCGAUGUUG